rnacentral:rRNA from 1 species
GACGAACGCUGGCGGCGUGCUUAACACAUGCAAGUCGAACGGAAAGGCCCUGCUUUUGUGGGGUGCUCGAGUGGCGAACGGGUGAGUAACACGUGAGUAACCUGCCCUUGACUUUGGGAUAACUUCAGGAAACUGGGGCUAAUACCGGAUAGGAGCUCCUGCUGCAUGGUGGGGGUUGGAAAGUUUCGGCGGUUGGGGAUGGACUCGCGGCUUAUCAGCUUGUUGGUGGGGUAGUGGCUUACCAAGGCUUUGACGGGUAGCCGGCCUGAGAGGGUGACCGGCCACAUUGGGACUGAAAUACGGCCCAGACUCCUACGGGAGGAAGCAGUGGGGAAUAUUGCACAAUGGGCGGAAGCCUGAUGCAGCAACGCCGCGUGCGGGAUAACGGCCUUCGGGUUGUAAACCGCUUUCGCCUGUGACGAAGCGUGAGUGACGGUAAUGGGUAAAGAAGCACCGGCUAACUACGUG